rnacentral:rRNA from 1 species
AAUAUUGGACAAUGUGGGCAACCCUGAUCCAGCAAUGCCUCGUGUGUGAAGAAGGUCAUCUGAUUGUAAAGCACUUUAAGUUGGGAGGAAGGGCUUUAGGUUAAUACGCUGACGUUUUGACGUUACCAACAGAAUAAGCACCGGCUAACUCUGUGCCAGCAGCCGCGGUAAUACAGAGGGUGCAAGCGUUAAUCGGAAUUACUGGGCGUAAAGCGCGCGUAGGUGGUUCAGUAAGAUGGGUGUGCAAUACCAGGGCUUAAACUGGGAACUGCUUUCAUAACUGAUGAGCUAAAGUACGGUAGAGGGUAGUGGAAUUUCCUGUGUAGCGGUGAAAUGCGUAGAUAUAGGAAGGAACACCAGUGGCGAAGGCGACUACCUGGAAUGAUACUGACACUGAGGUGCGAAAGCGUGGGGAGCAAACAG